rnacentral:rRNA from 1 species
UACGUAGGGUGCAAGCGUUAAUCGGAAUUACUGGGCGUAAAGCGUGCGCAGGCGGCUUUGCAAGACAGAUGUGAAAUCCCCGGGCUUAACCUGGGAACUGCAUUUGUGACUGCAUCGCUGGAGUGCGGCAGAGGGGGAUGGAAUUCCGCGUGUAGCAGUGAAAUGCGUAGAUAUGCGGAGGAACACCGAUGGCGAAGGCAAUCCCCUGGGAUAACACUGACGCUCAUGCACGAAAGCGUGGGGAGCAAACAGG